UCCCAAUAAUCUACAGGCUUCUCCAAAUGCUUUUUCGCAAACUUUAACCGAGCCUCAACAUGCUUUUUGUUCAGCAAUGGAGUCUUGCAUAAAGAGCGUGCAUGGAUGCCAUGGCAGUUCAGUGCAUUGCUUAUAGUUUUCUUUGAAACAACAGUACCUGCUGAUGCAAGGUCUUCCUGAAGUUCUGCCCGAGUGGUUUUCGGCACUUGGCAAACUGUCCUGAUUAUUCAUACUGUAUGUACAAACUGUAUUUUAUUUUUAUAUAUUUUGAUUUUUUUUAUGUUUAUUUUUCACAUGACUGCACAAGCUAUUUAGAGAUUUUAUUUAGGAGAAUUUGACCUAGUAUCACAGAACACAGCAUCGGCGUGUACACCGACAAGUUAUUAAAAUUAUGACAUUAUAACAGCAGUUAUUAUCUCUUUGUCGUGGGUGGGAUAUAUUAAGUGUCAGGAUCUUCAGGGCAGACAGCGCGCACUUCCGGUUCCGCGACGCGCAUUUCCGGGUCGGCGGCCAUCUUGGCGUUUUUCCCGCGCCUCCCGGUAUUUAAGGACACCAAAGACGUUAACUUGGCGCUCCGGCACCAUUCUGCCUUUCCGUUACCCGGUUUCAACGCUGGACUUUCUUCUUCUUCUUCUUCUUCUUCUUCUUCUUCUUCUUCUUCUUCUUCUUCUUCUUCUUCUUAAUAAUAAUAAUAUUUUUUAUUUUGUUUUUUGUUUGUGUUUCUGCCCUCGCUGUAUUUGUCAGUUUGCUGGCUAAGAUAUUUUUUUUUUACUGUUUUUUUUUCGGUAUUGUUUUUGCCUUGAUAAUCUGGCCGUGCACCGUGUCCCAAGAGUUUCUGACCGUAAAGAAGUGGGAACAGAGCCAAUAAACGUGUUCUGUCAAGGCAACAGAUACAUUGUGUAUGGACAAGAAGCGGGGAUUCCCCAUGACUUAUUUGAAAGAGUGAGUGCAGCACUGAGGAGAAAUCCAAAGUAUGAUCUCCUCAAAUACAACUGCGUCCAUUUCGUUCUGGAGUUGCUGAGGGGCGAACCAGAGGGGGAUGUCGUCAUCAAAUUCCCAACACACAUUUGCUGUGGUGUGGGGUGUUUAUUUAUUUAUUUUUUUUAAUUAAUUUAUAUUUUUCCCUAAAUUAAAUGUUUUUUGUAAAUAAAUUGUUUAAAGUUAA